GACGAACGCUGGCGGCGUGCUUAACACAUGCAAGUCGAACGUGAUUUUUGUGGAAAUUCUUUCGGGAAUGGAAAUGAAAUGAAAGUGGCGAACGGGUGAGUAACACGUGAGCAACCUACCUUACACAGGGGGAUAGCCGUUGGAAACGACGAUUAAUACCGCAUGAGACCACAGAAUCGCAUGAUAUAGGGGUCAAAGAUUUAUCGGUGUAAGAAGGGCUCGCGUCUGAUUAGCUAGUUGGAAGGGUAAAGGCCUACCAAGGCGACGAUCAGUAGCCGGUCUGAGAGGAUGAACGGCCACAUUGGAACUGAGACACGGUCCAAACUCCUACGGGAGGCAGCAGUGGGGAAUAUUGCACAAUGGGGGGAACCCUGAUGCAGCGACGCCGCGUGAGCGAAGAAGGUUUUCGAAUCGUAAAGCUCUGUCCUAUGAGAAGAUAAUGACGAUAUCAUAGGAGGAAGCCCCGGCUAAAUACGUG
rnacentral:rRNA from 1 species